rnacentral:rRNA from 1 species
UGGGGAAUAUUGGACAAUGGGCGAAAGCCUGAUCCAGCCAUGCCGCGUGUGUGAAGAAGGUCUUCGGAUUGUAAAGCACUUUAAGUUGGGAGGAAGGGCAGUAAGCGAAUACCUUGCUGUUUUGACGUUACCGACAGAAUAAGCACCGGCUAACUCUGUGCCAGCAGCCGCGGUAAUACAGAGGGUGCAAGCGUUAAUCGGAAUUACUGGGCGUAAAGCGCGCGUAGGUGGUUCGUUAAGUUGAAUGUGAAAGCCCCGGGCUCAACCUGGGAACUGCAUCCAAAACUGGCGAGCUAGAGUAGGGCAGAGGGUGGUGGAAUUUCCUGUGUAGCGGUGAAAUGCGUAGAUAUAGGAAGGAACGCCAGUGGCGAAGGCGACCACCUGGGCUCAUACUGACACUGGGGUGCGAAAGCGUGGGGAGCAAACAGG